rnacentral:rRNA from 1 species
UAGGGAAUCUUCGGCAAUGGGGGCAACCCUGACCGAGCAACGCCGCGUGAGUGAAGAAGGUUUUCGGAUCGUAAAGCUCUGUUGUAAGUCAAGAACGGGUGUGAGAGUGGAAAGUUCACACUGUGACGGUAGCUUACCAGAAAGGGACGGCUAACUACGUGCCAGCAGCCGCGGUAAUACGUAGGUCCCGAGCGUUGUCCGGAUUUAUUGGGCGUAAAGCGAGCGCAGGCGGUUUGAUAAGUCUGAAGUUAAAGGCUGUGGCUCAACCAUAGUUCGCUUUGGAAACUGUCAAACUUGAGUGCAGAAGGGGAGAGUGGAAUUCCAUGUGUAGCGGUGAAAUGCGUAGAUAUAUGGAGGAACACCGGUGGCGAAAGCGGCUCUCUGGUCUGUAACUGACGCUGAGGCUCGAAAGCGUGGGGAGCGAACAGGAUUAGAUACCCUGGUAGUCCACGCCGUAAACGAUGAGUGCUAGGUGUUGGAUCCUUUCCGGGAUUCAGUGCCGCAGCUAACGCAUUAAGCACUCCGCCUGGGGAGUACGACCGCAAGGUUGAAACUCAAAGGAAUUGACGGGGGCCCGCACAAGCGGUGGAGCAUGUGGUUUAAUUCGAAGCAACGCGAAGAACCUUACCAGGUCUUGACAUCCCGAUGCUAUUUCUAGAGAUAGAAAGUUACUUCGGUACAUCGGUGACAGGUGGUGCAUGGUUGUCGUCAGCUCGUGUCGUGAGAUGUUGGGUUAAGUCCCGCAACGAGCGCAACCCCUAUUGUUAGUUGCCAUCAUUCAGUUGGGCACUCUAGCGAGACUGCCGGUAAUAAACCGGAGGAAGGUGGGGAUGACGUCAAAUCAUCAUGCCCCUUAUGACCUGGGCUACACACGUGCUACAAUGGUUGGUACAACGAGUUGCGAGUCGGUGACGGCGAGCUAAUCUCUUAAAGCCAAUCUCAGUUCGGAUUGUAGGCUGCAACUCGCCUACAUGAAGUCGGAAUCGCUAGUAAUCGCGGAUCAGCACGCCGCGGUGAAUACGUUCCC